AGAAUCAACGCUGGCGGCGUGCCUAACACAUGCAAGUCGCACGAGAAAGGGGAGCAAUCCCCUGAGUAAAGUGGCGCACGGGUGAGUAACACGUGAAUAAUCUACCUCCGAGUGGGGAAUAACUGAGAGAAAUCUUAGCUAAUACCGCAUAACACUUACGAGUCAAAGCAGCAAUGCGCUUGGAGAGGAGUUCGCGGCCGAUUAGUUAGUUGGCGGGGUAAUGGCCCACCAAGACGAUGAUCGGUAUCCGGCCUGAGAGGGCGCACGGACACACUGGAACUGAAACACGGUCCAGACUCCUACGGGAGGCAGCAGUGGGGAAUUUUGCGCAAUGGGGGAAACCCUGACGCAGCAACGCCGCGUGGAGGAUGAAGCCCUUGGGUGUAAACUCCUUUCGAUCGGGAAGAUAAUGACGGUACCGAUAUAAGAAGCCCCGGCUAACUUCGUGCUAGCAGCCGC
rnacentral:rRNA from 1 species